GACGAACGCUGGCGGCGUGCUUAACACAUGCAAGUCGAACGGAAAGGCCCUGCUUUUGUGGGGUGCUCGAGCGGCGAACGGGUGAGUAACACGUGAGUAACCUGCCCUUGACUUUGGGAUAACUUCAGGAAACUGGGGCUAAUACCGGAUAGGAGCUCCUGCUGCAUGGUGGGGGUUGGAAAGUUUCGGCGGUUGGGGAUGGACUCGCGGCUUAUCAGCUUGUUGGUGGGGUAGUGGCUUACCAAGGCUUUGACGGGUAGCCGGCCUGAGAGGGUGACCGGCCACAUUGGGACUGAGAUACGGCCCAGACUCCUACGGGAGGCAGCAGUGGGGAAUAUUGCACAAUGGGCGGAAGCCUGAUGCAGCAACGCCGCGUGCGGGAUGAUGGCCUUCGGGUUGUAAACCGCUUUCGCCUGUGACGAAGCGUGAGUGACGGUAAUGGGUAAAGAAGCACCGGCUAACUACGUG
rnacentral:rRNA from 1 species